rnacentral:rRNA from 1 species
GACGAACGCUGGCGGCGUGCUUAACACAUGCAAGUCGAACGGAAAGGCCCUGCUUUUGUGGGGUGCUCGAGUGGCGAAAGGGUGAGUAACACGUGAGUAACCUGCCCUUGACUUUGGGAUAACUUCAGGAAACUGGGGCUAAUACCGGAUAGGAGCUCCUGCUGCAUGGUGGGGGUUGAAAAGUUUCGGCGGUUGGGGAUGGACUCGCGGCUUAUCAGCUUGUUGGUGGGGUAGUGGCUUACCAAGGCUUUGACGGGUAGCCGGCCUGAGAGGGUGACCGGCCACAUUGGGACUGAGAUACGGCCCAGACUCCUACGGGAGGCAGCAGUGGGGAAUAUUGCACAAUGGGCGGAAGCCUGAUGCAGCAACGCCGCGUGCGGGAUGACGGCCUUCGGGUUGUAAACCGCUUUCGCCUGUGACGAAGCGUGAGUGACGGUAAUGGGUAAAGAAGCACCGGCUAACUACGUG